GUGUAUAGAUUGUACGAGAAUAGGGUGCCGACGAAAUACGAACAGUCGCGCGCGAGCCGCUGUCACAGUGAGAUCCGUUUUAUUCCGUCUUGGUUAAUGUAGAUGUGCGGCGCUUUGACACCCUUUGAAAGGGGGUUGUAGCGCUGCACUGCGUCAAAAUUUUGACGUGUGCUUGCAAGCGCAAAGACCGCCAAGGGUGAGCGUUUUCGAGAUGAGCUAUGAAGUGUGCCCUAGGCUGUUUCCUAGCCAUCAUCAUUGUACAAUUGGCCCAGAAAAAUAUUUAUACUACAGCACUACCACCCAUCGUCAAGAUUGGUGCCAUAUUCACUCAUGACCAAAAGGAUAGCAGCACAGAGCUGGCCUUCAAAUACGCAGUUUAUAAAAUCAACAAAGAGAAGGUCAUAUUACCAAAAACAAAUCUUGUUUACGAUAUACAAUAUGUGCCCAGAGAUGAUUCAUUUCAUGCAUCAAAAAAAGCCUGUCAACAGGUUAAAUUUGGUGUUCAAGCAGUUUUUGGACCAUCUGAUUCAAUUCUUGGUCAGCACAUUCACAGUAUAUGCGACGCACUGGAUAUUCCACAUCUUGAAGUCAGGCUGGAUCUUGACAUUGAGGCUAAAGAAUUCAGUAUCAAUCUGCAUCCCGCACAAGCUUUGCUCAAUGCUGCCUAUCAAGACGUUAUGAAUUUUCUUAAUUGGACAAAAGUUGCAAUUAUUUAUGAAGAUGAUUAUGGAUUCAUCAAGUUACGAGAUUUAGUGAGAUCAAAUCAAGCCAUCGAUGUGGUUCUUAGACAGGCAGAUCCAGAUAGUUACAGGCAGGUCCUAACUGAUAUUAAAAGCAAAGAAAUAUGUAAUCUAAUUGUCGACACUAAACCAGAAAAUAUGCAUCAUUUUUUACGCAUGAUACUACAAUUGCAAAUGAAUGACUACAAAUAUCACUACCUCUUCACAACUUUUGAUAUUGAAACAUUCGAUCUCGAGGAUUUCAAGUACAAUUUUGUCAAUAUCACCGCUUUUCGUCUAGUCGAUGCAGACGACGUUGGUGUCAGGGGAAUACUUCGUGACAUGGAACGUUUUCAGCCAGCUGGUAAUACAAUUCUCAAUAAAUCACGUGUCAUUCAGGCUGAACCAGCUUUGAUCUAUGACAGUGUCCAGGUAUUUGCUGUUGGUCUUAGAACCCUGGAACAAUCACAUGCCCUUCGUCCAGCAAAUGUAUCAUGUGAACUUGAGCAUCCCUGGGACGGUGGUCUUAGUCUCAUCAACUACAUAAAUUCGGUGGAAAUGAAAGGACUAUCUGGUCCAAUUGAAUUUAAAGAAGGCCGUAGAAUACAAUUUAAAUUAGAUUUAUUAAAAUUAAAACAACACUCACUCGUAAAGGUCGGAGAAUGGAGUCCUAGUUUGGGUGUUAAUGUAACAGAUACAGCAGCAUUUUUUGAGCCUGGAAUUGUCAAUGUCACAUUGAUCGUCGUAACAAUACCAGAGCAGCCAUAUGUUAUGCUGAGAAACACUGGUAAUUUUAGUGGUAAUGAAAGGUACGAGGGAUUUUGCAUCGAUUUGCUAAGAGAAAUUGCACAAAUGGUAGGAUUCACAUACAGAAUUGAACUUGUGCCUGAUGGCAAAUAUGGCGUUUACAAUUACGAAACAAAAGAAUGGAAUGGAAUUGUACGUGAACUAAUGGAAAAGAAAGCAGACCUGGCAGUUGGAUCGAUGACAAUAAAUUACGCUCGGGAAAGUGUCAUUGACUUUACGAAGCCAUUCAUGAACCUGGGGAUCUCCAUACUCUUCAAGGUACCUACGAGUCAUCCAGCACGAUUAUUUUCAUUCAUGAAUCCACUGGCUGUUGAAAUUUGGCUAUAUGCAUUGGCAGCAUAUGUCUUGGUCUCCGUGACAAUGUUUGUCGUUGCUAGAUUCAGUCCUUAUGAAUGGAACAAUCCACAUCCAUGUCACACUGGAGCUGAAGAUAUUGUCGAGAAUCAAUUUUCCAUGUCAAAUAGUUUUUGGUUUACCAUUGGAACGCUGAUGCAGCAAGGCAGUGAUCUCAAUCCAAAGGCUGCAAGUACAAGAAUUGUCAGUGGAAUAUGGUGGUUUUUUACAUUAAUUAUAAUAUCAUCAUAUACUGCAAAUUUAGCAGCGUUUUUAACAGUCGAAAGAAUGAUAACACCAAUUGAAAAUGCUGAAGAUCUUGCUGGACAAACAGACAUAUUUUAUGGAACUCUUGACAGUGGCAGUACUAUGACAUUUUUUCGUGACUCAAUGAUUGAAACAUAUAAAAAAAUGUGGCGUUUUAUGGAAAAUAAAAAACCAUCAGUAUUUGUGCCAACAUAUGAAGAAGGCAUACAACGUGUACUGCAGGGUAAUUAUGCAUUUCUCAUGGAAUCAACAAUGCUUGAUUAUUCUGUACAACGUGAUUGCAAUCUCACCCAAAUUGGUGGACUUCUUGAUACUAAGGGUUAUGGUAUAGCAACACCAAUGGGAUCACCAUGGAGAGAUAAAAUUUCACUGGCAAUACUAGAAUUACAAGAGAAAGGUGAAAUACAAAUGUUGUAUAAUAAAUGGUGGAAGUUACCGAGUGAUAUAUGCAAAAGAAAAGAAAAAGGAAAAGAAAAUAAAGCAAAUGCUUUGGGUGUUUCUAGUAUUGGUGGAGUAUUUGUGGUUCUUCUUUGUGGACUGGCAUUUGCUGUGCUUGUUGCAAUAUGUGAAUUUUGCUAUAAUUCAAGAAAAUCUUCAGUCAACGAACGGCAUGAAAUAAUCAUCUGAAGCAUGCUAAUUGUCAUAUUACCUGCAAAAAUCGAUUGUGAAUGGAAGAGGAAAUUCCAUCAGUACCAACUCUACCAACUUGUUCUGGAUCACUGCAAACAAUAUCGCAGAUUGGACAACAUAAUCAGCAUCAACAUAAUCAAGAAUCAUUGUGCACGGAAAUG
rnacentral:misc_RNA from 1 species